rnacentral:rRNA from 1 species
UACAGAGGGUGCGAGCGUUAAUCGGAAUUACUGGGCGUAAAGCGUGCGUAGACGGCUAUCUAAGUCGGGUGUGAAAGCCCCGGGCUCAACCUGGGAAUUGCAUUCGAGACUGAAUAGCUAGGGUGCGGUAGAGGGAAGCGGAAUUUCCGGUGUAGCGGUGAAUGCGUAGAUAUCGGAAGGAACAUCAGUGGCGAAAGCGGCUUCCUGGACCAGCACCGACGUCAGGCACGAAAGCGUGGGG